CAGGGUGUAUUGCUUAGUGGUAGAGUGCUUGUCUAGCACACAUGAGAUCCUAGGUUGGAUCCCCAGCACCUCAA
rnacentral:tRNA from 1 species